GCCCAGGAUAGCUCAGUCGGUAGAGCAGGGGACUGAAAAUCCCCGUGUCGGUGGUUCGAUUCCGCCUCUGGGCACCA
rnacentral:tRNA from 1 species